rnacentral:rRNA from 1 species
UACAGAGGUCUCAAGCGUUGUUCGGAUUCAUUGGGCGUAAAGGGUGCGUAGGCGGCGCGGUAAGUCGGGUGUGAAAUCUUGGAGCUUAACUCCGAAACUGCAUUCGAUACUGCCGUGCUUGAGGACUGGAGAGGAGACUGGAAUUUACGGUGUAGCGGUGAAAUGCGUAGAUAUCGUAAGGAAGACCAGUGGCGAAGGCGGGUCUCUGGACAGCUCCUGACGCUGAGGAGCGAAAGCGUGGGGAGCGAACAGG